GAUGAACGCUGGCGGCGUGCCUAAUACAUGCAAGUCGAGCGAACGGACGAGAAGCUUGCUUCUCUGAUGUUAGCGGCGGACGGGUGAGUAACACGUGGAUAACCUACCUAUAAGACUGGGAUAACUUCGGGAAACCGGAGCUAAUACCGGAUGAUAUUUUGAACCGCAUGGUUCAGAAGUGAAAGACGGUCUUGCUGUCACUUAUAGAUGGAUCCGCGCUGCAUUAGCUAGUUGGUAAGGUAACGGCUUACCAAGGCAACGAUGCAUAGCCGACCUGAGAGGGUGAUCGGCCACACUGGAACUGAGACACGGUCCAGACUCCUACGGGAGGCAGCAGUAGGGAAUCUUCCGCAAUGGGCGAAAGCCUGACGGAGCAACGCCGCGUGAGUGAUGAAGGUCUUCGGAUCGUAAAGCUCUGUUAUUAGGGAAGAACAUAUGUGUAAGUAACUGUGCACAUCUUGACGGUACCUAAUCAGAAAGCCACGGCUAACUACGUG
rnacentral:rRNA from 1 species